rnacentral:rRNA from 1 species
CCUACGGGGGGCAGCAGUGGGGAAUAUUGCACAAUGGGCGAAAGCCUGAUGCAGCAACGCCGCGUGAGGGAUGACGGCCUUCGGGUUGUAAACCUCUUUUAGCAAGGAAGAAGCGAAAGUGACGGUACUUGCAGAAAAAGCGCCGGCUAACUACGUGCCAGCAGCCGCGGUAAUACGUAGGGCGCAAGCGUUAUCCGGAAUUAUUGGGCGUAAAGAGCUCGUAGGCGGUUUGUCGCGUCUGCUGUGAAAACUGGAGGCUCAACCUCCAGCCUGCAGUGGGUACGGGCAGACUAGAGUGCGGUAGGGGAGAUUGGAAUUCCUGGUGUAGCGGUGGAAUGCGCAGAUAUCAGGAGGAACACCGAUGGCGAAGGCAGAUCUCUGGGCCGUAACUGACGCUGAGGAGCGAAAGGGUGGGGAGCAAACAGGAUUAGAUACCCCUGUAGUC